CCUGCCCCUAGACCUGUUGCAGGUGUGGCUACUGUGUCACAUGUCCCUCUGUAAGUGGCAGAGCAGAGAGAGGCUAUUUUCAGUGUUCUGACCUAUGCACAUCUGAAUAGUUAGUAGCCUAGCAUU